UUUUAAAUGAAGACCUGUAUGAAUGGCUAGACGAGGGCUUAACUGUCUCCUUUUUCAAGUCAAUGAAAUUGAUCUCCCCGUGCAAAAGCGGGGAUAUGCCCAUAAGACGAGAAGACCCUAUGGAGCUUUAGAUGCCACAGCAAGCAUAGCUGCUACAUCCAAAUAAAGAUGUACCACUAGCUUCUGCCUCAACAUCUUCGGUUGGGGUGACCAUGGGGAACGAAAAACCCCCACGUCUCUGUACUGGAGUCUCUAUAACCUAACAAACUCUUUCAAACAAGAGCCGCCGCUCUACUUAACAGAAUUUCUGACCAUUGAUCCGGCAAUGCCGAUUAACGAACCCAGUUACCCUAGGGAUAACAGCGCAAUCCCCUUCCAGAGUCCAUAUCGAUAAGGGGGCUUACGACCUCGAUGUUGGAUCAGGACAU
rnacentral:rRNA from 1 species